CGUGGGUAAAACUUCGAGACCAAGCCAGUAGUUUCCACUAUACCAAUCCAGCCAAUACAAGUUAUGCCAAACUCCGUACCAAGUCAGAACCGCUAUUCCAGUCCCACGAUCUACUGUCGUAGAUACUGCUAGUCUCCUGCUAUCUUCCCGAUCUACCUCCUACAGCUCAAUCUGCUGUCCAAUACAGCUUCCUGGUCUCUAGCUGAUUGUAUCACCAAGUGAAAUUCCAAGAACCUCCUGUUCUUGUCCAGUUCCUACGCUUGUCGUCCACCUCUCUCAAUCUUUCAAUAAGAGAGUCCCUUCCUCAACGGAUGAAGAAGUCCAGGUGUUUUAUCCUCACAAAUAGUGAUGUUUUCUCUAUCAGUGAAUUGCCCGGACCACAAGGUGUUUAUGGAUGAAUUCCUUAUUCAGUUCUGCCUUGGAUCACUUGAGAGAAUAUUGAAGAUGAUAUCUUUGUAAAGCACAAUAUGAUAAUCUCUCUUUCACGUUCACGGCCUUUGUAUUUAUAGUUGAGGGCAAUUAGGAGUCCUAGAUCAUGUCAAACUUUUUAGAAAUCGAAAAUACAAUUUUUCAUAUAACACCAUCGCUAGAGUGAACAGCGAGCGAUACCACUUCGCUUGAGAGAACAUCGAGCGACGACCAUUCUGCUUCCUCUCGCUCGAGCGGUGGCAGGACGAACAGCUAGCAAACUUUCGGUGCCGCGACCUUUGUUUGAACCAAACACUCAAACCCUAGUCCCUACCAUCUAGCUUUGCUAAAUUGCACCUUAAGUCCCUGUCUUUUAUAACAUUGUACAAUUGAGUCCCUAACUUUUACAAAUUUACAAUUUAGUCAUUUUGUCUACAGAAUAGCCAAUUACACCUUUAGACCUAACAAAAGUCAUAUGAUUGCUAGGUUGUAAGUUUUGAGGAUCAAUUGUAUGGGAUUGAUUUGUAUCUGAAGUUUGGACAAAAGGCAAGUUUGGUAGGUAAGGCAUUCCUUUGGUAUUUGGCUGAUC
rnacentral:lncRNA from 1 species